UACGUAGGGGGCAAGCGUUGUCCGGAAUCAUUGGGCGUAAAGCGCGCGUAGGCGGUCCGGUAAGUCCGCUGUGAAAGUCGGAGGCUCAACCCUCGAAUGCCGGUGGAUACUGUCGGGCUAGAGUGCGGAAGAGGCGAGUGGAAUUCCUGGUGUAGCGGUGAAAUGCGCAGAUAUCAGGAGGAACACCAAUUGCGAAGGCAGCUCGCUGGGACGUAACUGACGCUGAGACGCGAAAGCGUGGGGAGCGAACAGG
rnacentral:rRNA from 1 species